rnacentral:lncRNA from 1 species
GGUUACCUACAUCACAAAUGAGUCAUGAGUAACUAGUUUACUCAGUGAGCCUAGUCCCCCACCCCAAUGUAUAUUAAUAAUAUCUCAAGCAAUCAACUUCAUUUGUAUGCAGUGGAAAUAUAUUCCAUAACUAAUAAAAAUACAUAUAUAAGGCAUAUCCUUCCAUCGACGUGAAUCUUAUCUUAAACAUCACCUCCACGACACCUGCCAUUCACUCAUUCUUAUAAUAUAUAUGUAGACUAAACCCGGAAAACCACAAAGGCUAACCGAGCCUAGCGGGGAAAUAAAUAUAACCACCAUCUCCAUUAGAUAUUCCAAGAUCGAACAUCUAACGCUGCAUGCAGUUACACGGCCUCCAGGGUGUGACCCCAUCAUCGUGUCUUCGUGACCUUGUUCCGUAUCACAGGAAUAAUUCACGGUAAUUCGGAAACUUUCGGUAGAGUGAGUAUACAAUAAGACUUCACAUGAUUUAUACUCAUAUCUUUAAUAAUAUAAUAUAUUAGUACUUGAGAACAAGUACUAAGGUUCAUAAUAAACCUCUACGAACAUUCAUAAAUAUUUAUUAAGUGUUUACACUAAGUAAACACCUCAUCAAUUCAAUAUUGAUCAAGAGACAAAGCCUAUCAAUCAUCUACAUUUUCAAUCAUGCAACACUAAUUCAUACCUCUUUAAUCAUCUAUCUAGAUUCACCUUUGAUUCCAUGAGAUUGGCUAGGAAAGACUAGACUCGAGUUCAACUAAUAACACUCCAUUUCACUCCUGAUUUAGAACGUGUGGAUACAAGAUCAGUCAGGUCGAUUCCAACAAAAACUCUACUCAGCUUAGUUCAAAGCAGUUCAGUUCGGUUCAAGGAU